rnacentral:rRNA from 1 species
GACGAACGCUGGCGGCGUGCCUAAUACAUGCAAGUAGAACGCACAGUUUAUACCGUAGCUUGCUGCACCAUACACUGUGAGUUGCGAACGGGUGAGUAACGCGUAGGUAACCUGCCUGGUAGCGGGGGAUAACUAUUGGAAACGAUAGCUAAUACCGCAUAAUAUUAAUUAUUGCAUGAUAAUUGAUUGAAAGAUGCAAUUGCAUCACUACCAGAUGGACCUGCGUUGUAUUAGCUAGUAGGUGAGGUAACGGCUCACCUAGGCGACGAUACAUAGCCGACCUGAGAGGGUGAUCGGCCACACUGUGACUGAGACACGGCCCAGACUCCUACGGGAGGCAGCAGUAGGGAAUCUUCGGCAAUGGACGAAAGUCUGACCGAGCAACGCCGCGUGAGUGAAGAAGGUUUUCGGAUCGUAAAGCUCUGUUGUAAGAGAAGAACGGGUGUGAGAGUGGAAAGUUCACACUGUGACGGUAUCUUACCAGAAAGGGACGGCUAACUACGUG